UACGUAGGUGGCAAGCGUUGUCCGGAAUUAUUGGGCGUAAAGCGCGCGCAGGCGGUCCUUUAAGUCUGAUGUGAAAGCCCACGGCUCAACCGUGGAGGGUCAUUGGAAACUGGGGGACUUGAGUGCAGAGGAGGAGAGUGGAAUUCCACGUGUAGCGGUGAAAUGCGUAGAGAUGUGGAGGAACACCAGUGGCGAAGGCGACGUCUCUAGUACGGUACUGACGCUGAGACGCGAAGCGUGGGGAGCGAACAGGAUUGAGAA
rnacentral:rRNA from 1 species